rnacentral:rRNA from 1 species
UACGUAGGGGGCGAGCGUUGUCCGGAUUUAUUGGGCGUAAAGAGCGUGUAGGCGGCUUGACAAGUCUGCUGUGAAAACUCGAGGCUCAACCUCGAGCUGUCGGUGGAAACUGUCUGGCUAGAGUCCGGAAGAGGAGAGUGGAAUUCCUGGUGUAGCGGUGAAAUGCGCAGAUAUCAGGAGGAACACCGGUGGCGAAGGCGGUUCUCUGGGCAUUACCUGACGCUGAGGAGCGAAAGUGUGGGGAGCGAACAGG